UACGAGGGGGGCAAGCGUUGUUCGGAAUUAUUGGGCGUAAAGGGCGCGUAGGCGGUGCGGUAAGUCUGAUGUGAAAUCUCCGGGCUCAACUCGGAGUCUGCAUCAGAAACUGCCGUGCUCGAGUGUGGGAGAGGUGAGUGGAAUUCCCGGUGUAGCGGUGAAAUGCGUAGAUAUCGUGAGGAACACCAAAGGCGAAGGCAGUGUCCUGGGGAGUACCUGACGCUCAGGUGCGAAAGCCAGGGGAGCGAACGGG
rnacentral:rRNA from 1 species